rnacentral:rRNA from 1 species
AACUUGCUCUUAUGGGUGGCGAGUGGCGGACGGGUGAGGAAUACAUCGGAAUCUACUUUUUCGUGGGGGAUAACGUAGGGAAACUUACGCUAAUACCGCAUACGACCUACGGGUGAAAGCAGGGGAUCUUCGGACCUUGCGCGAUUGAAUGAGCCGAUGUCGGAUUAGCUAGUUGGCGGGGUAAAGGCCCACCAAGGCGACGAUCCGUAGCUGGUCUGAGAGGAUGAUCAGCCACACUGGAACUGAGACACGGUCCAUACUCCUACGGGAGGCAUCAGUGGGGAAUAUUGGACAAUGGGCGCAAGCCUGAUCCAGCCAUACUGCGUGGGUGAAAAAAGGCCUUCUGGUUG